UCUCUCCUAUUUCGGGUCUGAGUGAACCAAACACUGAGUUAUCCCUCAAAGGUAGGAGUUUUUCUGAUGCUAUGCUUUAAAAUGCUUCCAACAGAACAAUAUAAAGAGUGAUAAGAGUAACAAAGAAUGGCUUAUUUAUUUGUUUAUUUGUUUGUUUUUGGCAUUUUAUCAAAGACAGGCCCUGUGCUCAGAGAUUUAUUUGACUUGUUUCAUGAUAACACACCAGUUGAGAAUCCCUCACUGAAGUAAAGUGGAACAUUUCAGAAAAGUACACAAGCAACUCUCAGCUUCCUGGAGACCCACUUCCUUUCUCUGCCCGGCCUCUCCCAUUUCAUGUCUCAAUAACAGCCCCGCCGAACGGAAGAAUGAAGGCAGGGAACUCAUGGAAGGAAAGGCUUUGAAACAGAAGGUUAAAUUGAAAUGAGGUUCAGUCAUUAGCUCUGCUUUCUGUGGUCCCCAUUAACCCAGGUGAUUGAAAGGGCAAUGGAAGGAUGUGUCAGCUGAAUCACAGAAUGCUAUUGAGGUUUUCUUCCACUCAGUGGGCACGAACUAUACACACACACACACACACACACACCCCUUUCCCUCCAGCCCCUCCCCCAGCCUUUUUCAGAGGCUGGAAAUAACAAGCCUCAUCCAGUCGCAUGGCAUCAGUCACGCCAGCCAGCACUCUUUUCAUCUGUCACUGGCCGGCGCAUCCAUAAGUCCCAUCUCCAUUCCGACAAGCCAAGUUCAAGGGCUCCAUAGCCACGUGUGGCUAUCGUAUUGGGUGGUGCAGCUCUAGAGCAAAGAGCUCCUGAAUAGGUAGUCUGCAACCACUCACAUCAGGAACAACCUGAGAAUCUUAAUAAGAAGG